GACGAACGCUGGCGGCGUGCCUAACACAUGCAAGUGGAGCGACGAACCAGGGCUUGCCCUGGGGCCAAGCCGCGAACGGGUGAGUAACACGUGGGUAACCUGCCCCGAUGACCGGGACAACCCGAGGAAACUCGGGCUAAUACCGGAUGUGGUGUACACACAACAAGUGUGUCUACUAAAGGAAGCUUCGGCCUCCGCAUUGGGAUGGGCCCGCGGCCCAUUAGCUAGUUGGUGGGGUAAAGCCUACCAAGGCAACGAUGGGUAGCUGGUCUGAGAGGACGAUCUGCCACACUGGGACUGAGACACGGCCCAGACUCCUACGGGAGGCAGCAGUGGGGAAUCUUGCGCAAUGCGCGAAAGCGUGGCGCAGCAACGCCGCGUGGGGAAGACGGCC
rnacentral:rRNA from 1 species